ensembl:lncRNA
AAAUCAUUACAAAGCCUUACAAAUUCCACACGAACCAGCCAAAGACAACAGUGGAGAGGAAAACUCAUAACCUGAGAUGUUAAAGUAGAUAGGAAGAAAUGUUGGGAGGAGCUCAGCUCAUCAGUCUGGCAUCUCUACCAAUUGACCAUUUGCAAAGAGCUUGAAUGACAGGCGAUCUGACCAAUCAUAACACAGAAUCCGCCAUUUUGUCCAACAAACAAAUCAGAUAGGAGUUUAGAUGAACUUUGAUGGACUUAAACUUGGAAAGUUGUGUGUACUGACGUCUUUCCACGGUUGAAAUAAAAUAAGUUCUGAUGUGCAUUCAUGUUCAUUCAUGUUCAUGUUGCACUUUAAGUACAAAUGUAAAGACAAGUGGUUCACAUGCUGCUUGAACUGAGACAAUACCACAAUCCGUCACGACAAAUUAAAGAGCUACAAAAAGAAAGGCCUAGUGGAAACAUGAUUCAUCUAAACUACAGGAAACCUGAUAUUAAUCAAAGUAUGGCAUUAUGGGUGAGUUGCUUACGGUUCUUAAGCUUUCAAUGAAAGAGAUGUCAAUUUGUUCAGUGCUUAAAAAAAAAAAAAAAAAAAAAACUUGCUUUGGCAUUGACUCUAGAAGUUUUGGCUUGAUCAAAUUGGCAUGAAAAGAAGAACCACUGCUGUAAGGCAUCCAUCCGAAGCCAAUUAUGCCUACCCGUGCUCCUGACAGUUACAGUUACUACUACUAUGGUUGUGGUUUCUACAGUCAGGGAUGGGCAGUAUUUAUGAUACAUGUAUUUCAAAUACAAAAUAGUAUUUUGUAAUUUGUAUUUGAUAGGGUUGAUAUAAAUGGCUAUGUAUUAUGUAUCAAAAUACUUCAGUGUUUUGUAUUUUUGAAGCUUUAAAAUACUGUAAAAUACUUUGUAAGAAGUCUACAUGAUGACAUCAUAAAAAUGUGGCCACUGAUUGGUGCCUACUCAAUAGGCUAGUUUGCUCAGACUUGUUGAGAUCAUAACAGAAAAUUGAUGCAUAUGGAAGAAGGUGGUCAAGGUAAGAAACGUGCAGGCUGCCAGCUUCCCAUAAUUUUUUUUUGCAUAAAUUGCUUUAAUUUUUAACAGUUCAUGUUAAGUUUUGGUGUUUGUUUUAGUAGCCUAGGCUAAAUAGUUUACCAAUUAACAAUGUUCUUGAAAACUAUUAUACCGAGCAGCAGCCCCACAAUUAACAUUAGCUUGCUACUUUCAGCCUAUGUUAAGUUCGGCGGUUGUACACAAAAAAUAAAUAAAUUAAUUAAUUAAUUAAAAAUAAUAAU